CUAAGUUUGAUGGCGACCGGCGCACGGGUGAGUAACACGUAUCCAACCUGCCGAUGACUCGGGGAUAGCCUUUCGAAAGAAAGAUUAAUACCCGAUGGCAUAGUUCUUCCGCAUGGUAGAACUAUUAAAGAAUUUCGGUCAUCGAUGGGGAUGCGUUCCAUUAGGUUGUUGGCGGGGUAACGGCCCACCAAGCCUUCGAUGGAUAGGGGUUCUGAGAGGAAGGUCCCCCACAUUGGAACUGAGACCCGGUCCAAACUCCUACGGGAGGCAGCAUG
rnacentral:rRNA from 1 species